GUGGUGGCAGAGUGAGGGGGAGACACAGUGAGUGGGGGUGACUGGUGACAGAGUGAGGGAGUGGGUGACUAGUGACCCCCUUACUCUGUCACUGUGUUACCCCCUCCCUCUGUCACUAGUCACCCCCUCUCUCCGUCACUAGUCACCCCAUCCUUCUCUCUGUCACUAGUCACCCCAUCCCUCUCUCUGUCACUAGUCACUCCCUCCCUAACUCUGUCAUUGU